CAUCUGUGCGCUCUGCUACUUUCUUGGAAUUUGGUAACAUUGAGUCUCCAAUGUAUACCAGACUUAGACAGUUUUUUUCCACUAUUUAUAGCAGGAUGCAGGUAAGAGCACCAUCACAGCCAGUGGUUGUGUCUAUACCAAUAUUGCAUUAUGAUG